rnacentral:rRNA from 1 species
GACGAACGCUGGCGGCGUGCUUAACACAUGCAAGUCGAACGGUAAGGCCCUUCGGGGUACACGAGUGGCGAACGGGUGAGUAACACGUGGGUGAUCUGCCCUGCACUUCGGGAUAAGCCUGGGAAACUGGGUCUAAUACCGGAUAGGACCACUGCCUGCAUGGGUGGUGGUGGAAAGCUUUUGCGGUGUGGGAUGGGCCCGCGGCCUAUCAGCUUGUCGGUGGGGUGAUGGCCUACCAAGGCGACGACGGGUAGCCGGCCUGAGAGGGUGACCGGCCACACUGGGACAGGGAUACGGCCCAGACUCCUACGGGGGGCAGCAGUGGGGAAGAUUGCGCAGUGGGCGCAAGCCUGAUGCAGCGACGCCGCGUGAGGGAUGACGGCCUUCGGGUUGUAAACCUCUUUCAGCACCGACGAAGCGCAAGUGACGGUAGGUGCAGAAGAAGGACCGGCCAACUACGUGCCAGCCGCCGCAGUAA